AAUGCUCUGUGCUUCAUCCAAAACAACCCUAAACCAAGCUACCUUUGCCAGCGGCCGAGCAAGAGUCUCAAACAAUUCUCUGUCUGCCUCCUUCUUCUUACCACCUUUCUUGCCAAAAGCUGAAGGAUACUUCCUUUUCUUACCGGAUGGACCAUCUUCAGUUUCUUCCUCACCCUCAUCAGCAAAUGAUUUCUUUGGGACUUCCA
rnacentral:lncRNA from 1 species